rnacentral:rRNA from 1 species
GCGGCGAAGGGAGAGUAACGCGUAGAUAUCUGCCUCGAGGCCCGGGAUAGCGGCGGGAAACUGCCGGUAAUACCGGAUAACAUCUCCGGAUCAAAGGUGUGAUUCCGCCUCGAGAUGAGUCUGCGUCCUAUUAAUGCUUGUUGGUGUGGUAACGGCGCACCAAGGCGAAGAUGGGUACCGGGUGUGAGAGCAUGGCCCGGCUCACUGGGACUGAGACACUGCCCAGACACCUACGGGUGGCUGCAGUCGAGAAUCUUCGGCAAUGGGCGAAAGCCUGACCGAGCGACGCCGCGUGCGGGAUGAAGGCCCUCGGGUUGUAAACCGCUGUCAGUAGGGAGCAAAUCUCUUGGGGUUAUCCCCUUGAGUUGAGCGAUCUUCAGAGGAAGUACGGGCUAAGUUCGUGCCAGCAGCCGCGGUAGGACGAACCGUACGAACGUUAUUCGGAAUCACUGGGCUUAAAGAGUCCGUAGGCGGCCGUGUAUGUGGGAUGUGAAAGCCCUCGUCUCGACCGAGGAAUUGCGUUCCAAACCACAUGGCUUGAGGAGGAUAGAGGUGAGCGGAACUGAUGGUGGAGCGGUGAAAUGCGUUGAUAUCAUCAGGAACACCAGAGGCGAAGGCGGCUCACUGGGUCCUUUCUGACGCUGAGGGACGAAAGCUAGGGGAGCAAACGGGAUUAGAUACCCCGGUAGUCCUAGCUGUAAACGAUGAGCACUAGAUCGAAGGGGAC